rnacentral:rRNA from 1 species
AGUGAACGCUGGCGGUAGGCCUAACACAUGCAAGUCGAACGGCAGCACAGUAAGAGCUUGCUCUUACGGGUGGCGAGUGGCGGACGGGUGAGGAAUACAUCGGAAUCUACUUUUUCGUGGGGGAUAACGUAGGGAAACUUACGCUAAUACCGCAUACGACCUACGGGUGAAAGCAGGGGAUCUUCGGACCUUGCGCGAUUGAAUGAGCCGAUGUCGGAUUAGCUAGUUGGCGGGGUAAAGGCCCACCAAGGCGACGAUCCGUAGCUGGUCUGAGAGGAUGAUCAGCCACACUGGAACUGAGACACGGUCCAGACUCCUACGGGAGGCAGCAGUGGGGAAUAUUGGACAAUGGGCGCAAGCCUGACCCAGCCAUACCGCGUGGGUGAAGAAGGCCUUCGGGUUGUAAAGCCCUUUUGUUGGGAAAGAAAAGCAGCAGGUUAAUACCCCGCUGUUCUGACGGUACCCAAAGAAUAAGCACCGGCUAACUACGUG